rnacentral:rRNA from 1 species
AGUAACACGUGGAUAACCUACAUAUAAGACUGGGAUAACUUCGGGAAACCGGAGCUAAUACCGGAUAAUAUAUUGAACCGCAUGGUUCAAUAGUGAAAGACGGUUUUGCUGUCACUUAUAGAUGGAUCCGCGCCGCAUUAGCUAGUUGGUAAGGUAACGGCUUACCAAGGCAACGAUGCGUAGCCGACCUGAGAGGGUGAUCGGCCACACUGGAACUGAGACACGGUCCAG